rnacentral:rRNA from 1 species
AGGCUUGGGUUCCAUCAGCUUGUUGGUGAGGUAAAAGCUCACCAAGGCUAUGACGGGUAGCUGGUCUGAGAGGACGGCCAGCCACACGGGGAUUGAGAUACAGCCCCGACUCCUACGGGAGGCAGCAGUGAGGAAUCUUGGACAAUGCCCGCAAGGGUGAUCCAGCGACACCGCGUGGGUGAUGAAGGGCUUCGGCCUGUAAAACCCUGUCAAGUGGGAAGAAAUCUACCUUUAAGGUAGUUUGACGGUACCACUGAAGGAAGCUCCGGCUAAUCCCGUGCCAGCAGCCGCGGUAAGACGGGAGGGGCAAGCGUUACCCGGAUUCACUGGGUGUAAAGGGUCUGUAGGCGGUUUGGUAUGUCGUGCCUGAAAUCCUCUGGCUCAACCAGAGAAUUGGGUACGAAACUGCCUGACUUGAGUCCGGACGAGGGGAGCGGAACUGCCGGUGUAGCGGUGAAAUGCGUAGAUAUCGGCAGGAACACCAUUGGCGAAGGCGGCUCUCUAUUCCGGUACUAACGCUGAAAGACGAAAGCGUGGGGAGCGAACGGGAUUAGAUACCCCGGUAGUCCACGCCGUAAACGAUGGGUGCUAGGUACUGGUUCGGUAAAACGAAUCGGUGUCGAAGCUAACGCGUUAAGCACUCCACCUGGGAACUACGGCCGCAAGGCUAAAACCCAAAAGAAUUGACGGGGGCCCGCACAACCGGUGGAACAUGUGGUUCAAUUCGAUGAUACACGAAGAACCUUACCUGGGCUUGACAUCUACCUAGUAAAACCCCGAAAGGGGAAUGAUCCGCCUUAUGGCGGAAGGGUAGACAGGUGGUGCAUGGCUGUCGUCAGCUCGUGCCGUGAGAUGUUGGGUUAAGUCCCGUAACGAGCGCAACCCCUGCUCGCAGUUACUCGCUCUUCAAGAGCAGCACUCUGCGAGGACUGCCGUGGUUAACACGGAGGAAGGUGGGGAUGACGUCAAGUCAGCACGCCCCUUAUGUCCAGGGCUACACACGUGUUACAAUGGCUAUUACAAAGGGAUGCAAAACCGCGAGGCGGAGCAAAUCCCAAAAAAAUAGCCCCAGUUCGGAUUGCAGGCUGAAACUCGCCUGCAUGAAGCUGGAAUCGCUAGUAAUCGCGGAUCAGCCAUGCCGCGGUGAAUACGUUCUCGGGCCUUGUACACACCGCCCGUCACGCCAACUGAGUCGAGGAUACCCGAAAUUACAUGCCAUUUGCUUUUAGCAAUAUGGGGUAAUGAGGGUAUGCUCGGCAAGGAGGGCGAAGUCGUAACAAGGCAGCCGUACCGGAAGGUGCGGCUG